UCCGGUUUGUCACUGGCAGUCUCACUAGAGUGCCACUUGCGGUGGCAACUAGUGACAAGGGUUGCGCUCGUUGCGGGACUUAACCCAACAUCUCACGACACGAGCUGACGACAGCCAUGCACCACCUGUGAAAGUGCCCCGAAGGGAGACCGUGUUUCCACGGCUGUCACUCACAUGUCAAACCCAGGUAAGGUUCUUCGCGUUGCGUCGAAUUAAACCACAUGCUCCGCUGCUUGUGCGGGUCCCCGUCAAUUCCUUUGAGUUUUAAUCUUGCGACCGUACUCCCCAGGCGGGAUGCUUAAUGCGUUAGCUGCGCCACUGACGAGUAAACCCGCCAACGGCUAGCAUCCAUCGUUUACGGCGUGGACUAC
rnacentral:misc_RNA from 1 species